rnacentral:RNase_P_RNA from 1 species
UGGCGUGGGGAUUUCGUCGCUGCCUCCCUUUGGGAGGGAGAGGAAAGUCCGGGCAACACAGAGCACCGUGCUUCUUAACGGGAAGUUGUCGGUAACGGCAAGGUUAAAGGUAACAGAGAAUAACCGCCUGCUAUCAUCGUGAGGGAAGAUCUCUCGCUCUUUGGCAGGUAAGGGUGAAAAGGCGGGGUAAGAGCCCACCGCUCGGGUAGCAAUACUUCGGGGACAGUACCACCAACGGGUUGCAAGUUCAAGUAUAUCGGCAGUAUGUAGGGUUGCUCGCCCGAUGCCGAGGGGUAGAACGCUAACAUUAGCCUGUGGGCGACCACAGUGUAUAGAUUAAUGACGAAGGCCGCUCCGCCGAGGAAGGUUGCGUGCAACACUCCCAAGGGGGAUCCAGCGGUACAGAACCCGGCUUACACCCCACGCUAAACA